rnacentral:rRNA from 1 species
CAGUCGCCGCGGGAAUACGUAGGUGGCAAGCGUUGUCCGGAAUUAUUGGGCGUAAAGGGCUCGCAGGCGGUUUCUUAAGUCUGAUGUGAAAGCCCCCGGCUCAACCGGGGAGGGUCAUUGGAAACUGGGAAACUUGAGUGCAGAAGAGGAGAGUGGAAUUCCACGUGUAGCGGUGAAAUGCGUAGAGAUGUGGAGGAACACCAGUGGCGAAGGCGACUCUCUGGUCUGUAACUGACGCUGAGGAGCGAAAGCGUGGGGAGCGAACAGGAUUAGAUACCCGCGUAGUCCCUGUCUCUUAUCC